rnacentral:rRNA from 1 species
ACUUGUGGCGACCGGCGCACGGGUGCGUAACGCGUAUGCAACCUACCUUUAACAGGGGCAUAACACUGAGAAAUUGGUACUAAUUCCCCAUAACAUUCGAGAAGGCAUCUUCUUGGGUUAAAAACUCCGGUGGUUAAAGAUGGGCAUGCGUUGUAUUAGCUAGUUGGUGAGGUAACGGCUCACCAAGGCAACGAUACAUAGGGGGACUGAGAGGUUAACCCCCCACAUUGGUACUGAGACACGGACCAA